GGCCUGAUAGCUCAGCUGGUUAGAGCGUGGUGCUGAUAAUGCCAAGGUCACAGGUUGGAUCCCUGUAUAGGGCA